GUAGUAUUCCCUCCGUCCCAAAAUUCUUGUCUUACAUUUGUUUAGAUACGGAUGUAUCUAACACUAAAAUAUAACUAGAUACAUCCGUAUUUAGACAAAUUUAAGACAAUAAUUUUGGGACGGAGGGAGUACAAA
rnacentral:pre_miRNA from 1 species